GUGCUUGCUUCAGGAGUACAUACAGUAAAAAUUGGAAUGAUAUAAAGAUAAGCAUGGCCCCUGCACAAUGAUGACAUGCAAAUUUGUGAGGCAUUCCAUAUUUUU